rnacentral:rRNA from 1 species
GAGUUUGAUCGUGGCUCAGGAUGAACGCUGGCGGCGUGCUUAAUACAUGCAAGUCGAGCGAAGCACUGGAAGCAGAAUCUUCGGAGGAAGCAUCCGGUGACUGAGCGGCGGACGGGUGAGUAACGCGUGGGUAACCUGCCUCAUACAGGGGGAUAACAGUUAGAAAUGGCUGCUAAUACCGCAUAAGCGCACAGUACCGCAUGGUACGGUGUGAAAACUCCGGUGGUAUGAGAUGGACCCCGCGUCUGA